rnacentral:rRNA from 1 species
UACGUAGGGGGCAAGCGUUGUCCGGAAUCAUUGGGCGUAAAGAGCGCGUAGGCGGCCCUGUAAGUCCGCUGUGAAAGUCAAGGGCUCAACCCUUGGAUGCCGGUGGAUACUGCAGGGCUAGAGUCCGGAAGAGGCGAGUGGAAUUCCUGGUGUAGCGGUGAAAUGCGUAGAUAUCGUAAGGAAGACCAGUGGCGAAGGCGGGUCUCUGGACAGUUCCUGACGCUGAGGCACGAAGGUCAGGGGAGCAAACGGG